rnacentral:lncRNA from 1 species
UGCGUCUCAGUUUGCCUCAGACUUAAGUGGCUGGUGGAAGUGAGAGAUCUCUAAAGAUUCACCCAAUCCCAUUGUUCUAAGGUAAUAAAUCCUAUAAUUGCUGUAUCCUCAGAACCCAGCACGGGGCACUGCAUACGGUAGAUCUGCUUAACCAUGUACCAAAUGCAUCCGCCUCUUCCCCAACAUCCAUUACUACUGGAACCCACCAAGAACUGAAUUCCAUGGUACUUCUCAGGAUUCUUGAGGUCUGGACUAAGCCCUGGAUUGGGAAAGACGUGUUUAUGAUGCAGACCAGUUGGGGAGAUUUUUCUUGAAGGAGCAGCAGCUUGGGAAUAGCUGACCUGGUGAGAGCAUUCCUCUUCAUCUUGGCUCUGUCUGCUGUAGUUGGGGGUGAGUAGGGGUUUCAGCAGUAGAGGAAUGGGAGCCCAGAGAGACGGUGAUGAAUGAGAAGGAGACAAACAGCUCUAGCCUGUGUGCUCCUGUCUUGUUGAGGCUGAGGGCCUGCAGGGACAUUCUGAGUGAAGAACAUGCCAGGCCCACCUGUGGACUCCAGUCGCUGGUGAUGAAGCACCUGUCAUUCUGGAUAAGGAUAGCAUGUUCAUAAAAGGGAAAUGAGUGGAGAAGGAGGGAAGGAGUUGUGAGCAAAGCAUUUAAAGCGUUGCCAGAAUAUAAGCAACAGUGCUUCAUGUCGUGAAAAACUGAGAAAAGGAGUCUUUAUGUACAGGAAGAACUCAGCAGCUGACCUCAAGAAGAAAGGAAAACAUCCUCUCUUCACUUUUCUCUGGGAUGCCUGUGCCCAGGGUCUUGAGUUUCCGACUGGGGCAUAAUGGAUUUUUGGUGGCCUGUGACUUUAUUAUGGGUCUUUUCCCAAAGUGUUUUGAAAUGGUAUGAAAGAGUGUAUUCAGUUAGAAACCUUGAGUUCUACUCCCAGGCUACUUAGAGGUUGUUUUGCAAACUUGAACAAGUCAAGUAAACCUGACUUCAACUCUACGCAAUGGAUUAUGCAAUGGUUGAAGUUCUAAGCUUGGAAGUUUCCAAUGAGAACAAAUAGGGGUGGUGAGAGCUGCCCUGCCCCUUUCAGGGACAUUAAGAGGGUCACCAGGCAGGUGAAUGUGACAGUGCCCUAAAGUUAUGAAGAAAUCUGUGCAAAACUGUAUGUUGUUAUAGUUCUUCUUGGGGCUGAUGCACCGUGACCCCUUCAACAGUUGAUGAAUCAUGGGAUAAUUGUUGAUGAGUCAUGGGAUAGGUGCUGCUUCAAGGGAUGUGGAUGUAGGUUGGACAGAGGCCGACCCCAACUCUCUACUCAUUUGCACUGUGCAUGGCAAAUUUGUUCUGGGAGUUUCUGCUUUGCUCCUGUCUUAAGCCAUCAGACCACGUGUUCAGUAGUCCAGCCCUGGCCACAGCCUCUCUGCCUGGCUGGGCCCAGGCUACUUCUAAACUCUCUGUUUUUUUUAUUUUAUUUUAUUUUUAUUUUUUUUUAUUUCAGAUUUUAUCCAACAUGGAUGUCUUGAUCCAAGAGAAAAAAAGGGAUCCCUUCAAAGUCCUUUCCCCAGUUUCCUGCUUAGUCCCACUCCUAGAGCCCUAGGGGGUUCUGUAGCUCCUCUAUAUUUUCAGGGAACUGAGCUGAAGCCAAUACGAGAUUUUAAAAGAUACCCUAUCCUUAAGCAAAGUGCAGAUCCUGAGACUCAGAGAGGUUAAGAAACUCGCCCAACGCCACACAGCUAGAUAAACACCUCAGGAUUUAAAUAGAUUGCAGGGGACACCAACAAGGCUCUGCUCAGAUCCCCUCAGAUCCCUCUGGCCCAUCUGUGCAUGCAGUAACAUCUGCUUCACCGUUGACUGCUUGAACCUGUGGAUCCACUUCACCUAAGAGCACAGAGAGCUGAAAGGGCCUGGAAUCCUGUUGCCUCCCGGGCAGCCUGCAGCCAAUGAGUAACUGGUGCUGGAAAACAGAAGGCUGCUCCCUUGCUGGAGCCACCAUCUCAGGACAUCCUCUGGCUGCUGUCUGGAGCCCGAUGAAAGGACCAUUCUGGCCAGAGUGGUUCAUGAGCUCAGUGCAGUGGGCAGCAGAGGCACCAGUCAAGCCCUGGAG